UCAGAGGUUCAAGAUCAUACUCAGCUAUACAGUGAGCUCAAGGACAGGCUGAAAUACACGAGACCCUGUCUAUGAAUGAAUGCUUGAAUUAAAUGUAAAAAGCUUUUAGCCAAGGAUAGAGUUCAGUUGAGAGAGCACAUGCCUCUUGAUUUCACGUUGAUCAGUCUUGCCUCCUCUGACACAGAAGAGCUCCAUCGAUGAGGCCAAUGCAACAUCAAAGCAAAUAGCUAACUGAGCAUGCCCUCUCUCUACCACCACAUCUAUUUUUUUUAAUAGACCUACUGGCACUGGCCUGUAAUCCCAGAUACUCAGAAGGCUAAGGCAGGAAGAUCCCAAGUUCGAGGUCUGUUUGUUUCAAAAUAAAAAGUUUAAAAGGGGCUGGUGAUAUAGCUUAGUGGUAGAAUAUUCACCUAACAUGCAAAAAGUCUGUACCAUCAGCAAGAAAAAAAGCAGUCUCCUUUUCCAGCAGCCUACCUCUUACACCUCAAAUAAAGGGAGAACUAGGUAGAGCAGGAAUCCCUAACAGUGGAGGGCCACCUAGUGGUCGUCUAUUCUAGUCACAAUGAGAAGGCUCCAGCUUGCCCUGGAUGGCUCACUCACUGAAGAGGUUCAGCUUCUUGUCAGCCUGCAGGGCUUCCUCUCGGGUGAAGGGGAAGUCAAACCAGCGAGAACGGCUCAGAUUAAGCUGCAUGGUUCUGCCAAAGAUCUCGAUGUAUGACGGAGCCCGUUCAAUUGCCUGGGUCCCAAUCUGGAUCCGCAUGCCUGUCAUCACCAUAGUGCUGCUGUUGUUGCUAAUCUCAAUGGUGAAGCCACCAGGCUGCAAGGACAAAAGCACAUGUCACAAAUUCCCAGAACCUUUCUUCCCACACUGCCUCAGUGGCUACUAGGUAAGACCUCAUUUCUUUAACUCCAUCCUAAUCAUGUCAUGACCAAGGGAGGAGAGAGAGAGUGUCAGGCUCCCUCCCCCGCAACUCCACGCCCCCCCCAAGCAUUAACCACCCUGUCGUUCUGUACAUAGUAACCCUGCUAACAAUAGUUCAAAUUUAGCCUAGUGGGACUCAAGACCUUCAGCAGUUGAAAAAUGUCGAUUUAUUCAAGGAUCAUUUGAGCAGAAGUGAGCAACUCUUGAGUACAUAUUCUAUGUCUGAUUCUAAGGAAGAUGUGUGGAGUGCUGCUCAAUGGUGGAGUGCCUGGGUUCAAGCCUAGUGCUGAAAAGACAGACACGAGUUGGCCACAAGAGUGCUAACCCAGAAAGUGAGCCAGCCCUGUGUACUCCUCACCUUGGUGUUAGCCACAUACAUGCCAGUGGAGUUCAGUCUGUGCUUUAUCUGUUGUGCAUUGUAGACUUGCAGGAGGUCAUUACCACCAAACUCUACAUCCGUCAGCUGCUGGUUGUGUUCAAAAAAGUCGAUGGGGAAGGUCACCUGGCUGGAUGUGCGGGCUGCUGUGGGGACAGUGCCAGUUUGCUCGGGAGCACUGGUGCAUGGUCUCAGCACCUCUGCUCACUCCAGGGUUAAACAUGGAGCCCAUGCUCGUACACUCCAAUCUCUAACCAAAUGAGAUUCCAUCAUCUGUCCCAUCACAAUGCUUAUCAAGAUCGGCUCUCCAGCAUACCACCCCAACCACUGUGACCCACCAUACAAAACCUGGUAUCAGUAUGGAGUGUACAGUUCAUAACACAACAGAAUCUAUUUCUUUACAAGAUGAUAAGCUACAUCAUCAUCUCAAACAUGAAAAAUCUAGAACAAUUUAAGAAAACAUAAUGAUGCCUACAGUGUACUUCACUUAGCCAGGAUCAUUCCCUCCUAAAAUCACACUUCCUGUUCUUCAAAGAGUCCUCUCACAGCCAGGAGCAAGACCUGACGUCCAUACUAGUCUGUGGGAAAUUAGGCAACUGAAGGAUCUACGCUUCAAUGAAAUCAAAUGCACAGGCUUCAUGAUGCUGAUGACGCUGCUGGGCUGCAGGGAAGGCUGGAGCCAGUAAGAGGUGUUCUCCACAUUGGCCAUGUAAAUGCGCAGGCUGCCGUCCUCACACAGCAGGAUCAUGGUCGUCCGCUGCUGCUCAUUGCAGGCGGUGUGUCUAAUGGCCACCAUGUCUUGGAUCUAGGAGGAGAGGAUAAAAGUGUUCUAGAAUUAAAAGGAAGCCAUCAUCACUUACCUUGACAAAGUCUGCAGUGACAAUGGCCAGCUCAGUCUGUGAACCAGGUAACCACACAGCUUUGAUGAUGAAGUUCCCUGUUGCCAACUGGGGAUGUAACACCAAGUGAUCCGAAACAGAGCCCGAGCUACUGAAGGAACUGCCUCUACCUACCCCAGCAGAUCAGGAGUCUGCCACGCAGAGCUGGGCGAGCAGUCCUAAGGCAGAAGACUGACAGGCUGCGUCCCAAGUCGAAAGAAUAACUAAAGGAAAGCUGUCUUUAACUCAGGGCUGGAGGUCAGAAAAGGACAAAGCUACUGAGCCUUAGGAAGGAAGGCACAGUCAAGAGGCUUUCAAUUUUCUACAAAGGAGUUUCUGUUAGAGUGCUCCCAAAAUGGAGCUCUUCACAUCUUAGGAGUUCAUGCAUUCAGAAGCUUUAAUAAAAAGAGGACUUACUCCCUAAAUACCCAGACCACAGCUCAUCUGUGGGUUUCUACAUUGCUCAGAGUAUAGCUGAGGAAGGAUGAGACCACAGAUUCUAGGUUCUGCUUGGCCUGGGACCAACUAACUCUAAAUCUAUUCCCAGUUGCUCUGGCACAUAUUGGGAAGCCGUGAAGUACAGGUUGUAUAGUCACCAAACCUUGCGACCCUAACACACUCACCAUCAGCUGGUCCGUCAUCUCCACAACCUUGUCCACUGUAUGGAGUUCGCUGAGGGCCUGCUGUGCUCGGCUGCUGCUCCCCACAGCUGAAGCCUGCUGAAAGUUGGUCUGAAUGGCAUCCAUGAGGAAAUUGAGCAUGUCUAACACGAGAGGAGCGAAGGAGAAAUUGGCCUGAGAGAAAUCGAAAUACACAAGUGAAAAAAAAAAAAAAAGAAAGAAAAGAACGAAAAAUCAUGGGUCAUAUGUAAUGAUCUUGACAGUUAUUGCCUUUAGCAAACUGGUUUCCCUCUCCAGAAUCCUAGCUCUGACUGCAGUCAAUGCACUACUGAUGAGGGGAGUAUUUCUAAGCCAGGGUCCCACAGACACCCUAAGUCAUUCAACGCACCCAGCAUAUAUAACCACCUCUCUCCUAUGCAUACAUAAUGUGAAAAACAGAAAAAACAAUCACUCAAUGGUUUCCUGAACUCUGGGCCCAGAUGAGGACCCCUGGCCAAGAAAGCAUGUUCUAGAAUGACUCCCACUACUGUAAAAUCUUCCCCAGAGAUGGAUAACACACACUCCUGGCAUGAUCACUGCAAGAACGAGAGAGGACACCGGGCUGCCAGGAGAGCCUCACACUACUGACUCAAGACUUGCUAAACUCUGUCCCGUGCACUAGUGCCCAUCGGGAAGCCCCACCUGAUUCUGCAGCUCCUCACGGCACCCCUCAACUGUGCGGCACAGGCUGCUCUUCUUGGGCUUCUCUUCCUCAGUAACCUUCCCAUCACUGAUGGUGACCUUGGCCUUGUCAGCAGGUGAGGUGCUGGCAUGGCGCACCAAACUCUCGGAAACCCUUGGUUCGCUCUGAAAUGCUGACUCCUUCAUGGUAGAGCUCAUGCCGCUGCUAGGAGUUCGUUUCACCAGUGCCUAGGGACAGAAAAGGUCCGUGUCCCCAAGUUCUUGCCACAAGCCAGAUGAAAUACUGCUAAGAUACUGGAAGCAGAGGAGGAACUGGCUAUACAUGUGAUUCCCAAGCCCAGCUCCAUGGGGCUCACCCAACGCCUAUCUGCACUGCCCACUAAGAGCAUCAGGUCUUGACUCUACGAGGAGCUUGUCGCUUUGGGGCCACAAAUGGACAUGUCACUCAUAACAGAAUGAGAACAAAUUCUUGGCCAUACAGAGCUAACAUGGGAAUUUUCUGGUCUGCCUUAGACAUUCCUGUGUUACUAACAAGUUGCCCAUAUGACACCAUGAAGGUUCCAUCUCUCACCAAGCAGCUGCCAUCUUCCUUGGCUCCACAGUCACAGAAAAAAGAACCAUACUUGGCGUAGGAAAUCUCAUGAUCCUUGUGGCACACCUUCGCACAUACUGUGCACACCCCCACCCCAUCCACCAUCUUACAGGUAUGACAGUGGUACCUACAAGGAACAAAAGCCAGCACUAAGUCACAGGUCCCAGCACCAGAGGCCCAGAUAGCCUGACUUUAAAGGAACUCACCAGUGCUGGUUCAUAAACUCCUUCUGGGUGAUGGUGAAGGUGCAGAGUUUAUUGCAAAGAGAAUCUUCAUCCUUCAAAGAUCAAUAGGUCUUUUUAAUCACACAUAAUCUCCACAUAGGAACCCAUAAAACACAUCUGCUCCCACACUCCAUGGAGAGACACACCGGGACUAGUGGGAACCUGCCCUGAUUUGAAAGACCCAGCUGUCUGAAGCCUCCUACAAUUUCAAGUGCAAUUUUCUAGUUUUCUUUUAAGAGGGGGGGAGGGGUGGUGAUAUAUUGUGUACCCUAAUAAACUUUGCCUCAAGAUCAGAGAACAGAACAAGCCACUAGAUUAACCAUAGAUGCCAAGCAGUGGUGGCACACACCUUUAAUCCUAGCACUCGGGAGGCAUCUCAGCACUAGGAAGGAAGUGAGGGCGGGCAGAGAAAGGUAUACAAGGCCUGAGGAGACAGGAACUAACGGCUUUUUGGCUGGAGAGCCUUCGGCUGAGGACUCAGAGGCGUCAGUCAGAGGAUUCGUGGAGUUGGCGAGAUAAGAUGUGGCUGUGGCUUAUUCCUUUGUCUCUCUGAUCUCUCAGCAUUUACUCUAAUAUCUGGCUCUGGGGUUUUUAUUAAAAGACCAUUUAGCAGUUCACGUUACAGGGAGCAGGGAGCAGGCAAUUAAAAACCCUUAGUGCAUUCAAGGGUCCUCCACCUCAUGAAGAAUG